rnacentral:rRNA from 1 species
AGUGAACGCUGGCGGUAGGCCUAACACAUGCAAGUCGAACGGCAGCACAGUAAGAGCUUGCUCUUACGGGUGGCGAGUGGCGGACGGGUGAGGAAUACAUCGGAAUCUACUUUUUCGUGGGGGAUAACGUAGGGAAACUUACGCUAAUACCGCAUACGACCUACGGGUUAAAGCAGGGGAUCUUCGGACCUUGCGCGAUUGAAUGAGCCGAUGUCGGAUUAGCUAGUUGGCGGGGUAAAGGACCACCAAGGCGACGAUCCGUAGCUGAUCUGAGAGGAUGGUCGGACACACUGGAAAUGAGACACGGGCAAGAGUCCUACGGGAGGAAGCAGUAGGGAAGGUGCAGGAAUGGGCGAAAGCCUGAAGGAGCAACGCCGCGUGAGUGAAGAAGGUCUUCGGAUAGUAAAACGCUGUUAUUAGGGAAGAACAAAUGUGUAAGGAAAAAUGCAAGUCGUGAAGGUACCUAAUCAGAAAGCCACGGAUAACUACGUG